UGAAUGUCAUCGAAAAUUGUGAGCAUC
rnacentral:piRNA from 1 species